UACGGAGGGGGCGAGCGUUAUUCGGAAUUAUUGGGCGUAAAGGGCGCGUAGGCGGCUGAACAAGUCAAAGGUGAAAUCCCUCGGCUCAACUGAGGAACUGCCUUUGAAACUGUUCGGCUUGAGGCCGGGAGGGGGUAGCGGAAUUCCCAGUGUAGCGGUGAAAUGCGUAGAUAUUGGGAGGAACACCAGUGGCGAAGGCGGCUACCUGGACCGGUUCUGACGCUGAGGCGCGAAAGCGUGGGUAGCAGACAGG
rnacentral:rRNA from 1 species